GCGACCGUGGCGGAAUUGGCAGACGCGCUAGACUUAGGAUCUAGUAUCUUAAGAUGUGGGAGUUCAAGUCUCUUCGGUCGCACCA
rnacentral:tRNA from 1 species